rnacentral:tRNA from 1 species
GCCCCCAUAGUGUAACGGUUAAGCAUUUCGGCCUUUCAAGCCGAAGAUUCGGGUUCGAAUCCCGGUGGGGGCA